CCUGAAUGCAAAAGGCAAGUAAAACUUCAUAAAUAAACCCUUUGAUUGGCUAUAAUAAUGUGUGAACCAAUAGAUAGUCGUUCUCUUUGUGACUUGUCCAGGUUUGUUUAGCUUACAUGCUGCAAAAACGUAAUACUACAUAGCACGAGUGCCAAUAGUUCUACAAAAGUUUGUGCCAAAAAAUGGAAAGUGAAAAUGAACCUGCAAAA
rnacentral:misc_RNA from 1 species